rnacentral:rRNA from 1 species
CGUGAGUAACCUGCCUUGGAGUGGGGAAUAACACAGUGAAAACUGUGCUAAUACCGCAUAAUGCAUUUGGGUCGCAUGAUUCUGAAUGCCAAAGAUUUAUCGCUCUGAGAUGGACUCGCGUCUGAUUAGCUGGUUGGCGGGGUAACGGCCCACCAAGGCGACGAUCAGUAGCCGGACUGAGAGGUUGAACGGCCACAUUGGGACUGAGACACGGCCCAG